AUGGCUGUCGUCAGCUCGUGCCGUGAGGUGUCGGGUUAAGUCCCAUAACGAGCGCAACCCCUAUUUUUAGUUACCAGCGAAUAAUGUCGGGGACUCUAGAAAGACUGCCUGUGUAAACAGUGAGGAAGGUGGGGAUGAUGUCAAAUCAUCACGGCCCUUAUGUCUUGGGCUACACACGUGCUACAAUGGUUACUACAGUGGGAUGCCAUCUGGUGACAGAGAGCUAAUCCAUAAAGGUAAUCUUAGUUCGGAUCGGAGUCUGCAACUCGACUCUGUGAAGUUGGAAUCGCUAGUAAUCGUAUAUCAGCAAUGAUACGGUGAAUACGUUCCCGGGCCUUGUACACACCGCCCGUCAAGCCAUGGAAGUUUGUAGUGCCUGAAGUCAGUAACCGAAAGGAUCUGCCUAGGGUAAGACAGAUAACUAGGGCUAAGUCGUAACAAGGUAGCCGUACCGGAAGGUGUGGCUGGAAUAUCUCUUUUUUUGAGUAUUGUUUGUGUUUAAUUCUAUCUUCUUUUUUCCUUUUUAAAGUCUCGUAGCUCAGCUGGUUAGAGCGCUACACUGAUAAUGUAGAGGUCGGCAGUUCGAGUCUGCCCGGGACUACAUUAAAAAGGGGGAUUAGCUCAGUUGGCUAGAGCGCUUGCCUUGCACGCAAGAGGUCAUCGGUUCGACUCCGAUAUUCUCCACUUAAUCUAUCUUUAUGAUAGACAAAGUUCUUUGACAUAUUGUAAUGAAUAUAUAUACUUAAUUUUUAAAAGUUAUUAAGGGCGUAUGGCGGAUGCCUAGGCUCUCAUAGGCUAUGAAGGACGUGACAAGCUGCGAUAAGUUUCGAUAAGGUGCAAAUAACCUUUGAGUCGAAAAUUUCCGAAUGGGGAAACCCGG
rnacentral:sRNA from 1 species